UACGUAGGGGGCAAGCGUUGUCCGGAAUCAUUGGGCGUAAAGAGCGCGUAGGCGGUCCGGUAAGUCCGCUCUGAAAGUCCGGGGCUCAACCCCGGGAGGCGGGCGGAUACUGUCGGGCUAGAGUCCGGAAGAGGCGAGUGGAAUUCCGGGUGUAGCGGUGGAAUGCGUAGAGAUCCGGAAGAACACCGGUGGCGAAGGCGGUCUGCUGGGGUGAGGCUGACGCUGAUGCGCGACAGCGUGGGGAGCAAACAGG
rnacentral:rRNA from 1 species